AGAGGAGUGGCAGAGUGGUCGAAUGCACCGGUCUUGAAAACCGGCGUACCGAGAGGUACCGGGGGUUCGAAUCCCUCCUCCUCUGC
rnacentral:tRNA from 1 species